UAGGUUAAAUAUAACUGCCAUGGCUUCCACUUUUGGCAGGAGACUCCUGAUGUCUGCAUGUCUCUCACACUGUGGGUCCACCGGGCACCGUGAUUGCUGAGUGCCCUACCAGGAGAAGUCUUCCAACUUGAAUCAAGAAACUUAAGGAAAGAGCUCAUCUGGUCAGGUCUAAAGGUACCUAUGCCAAAUAGUUAUGAACAUACAUUACAUCAACAUCAAGACAGCUGCUUUUCAGUCACUGACUAAUAGAUGCAAGUAAAUGGAUCACAACAAAUAAUCUAGUCAAUAACGAAGAUUCUCUUUUUCCUCACAUUUAUUGACCAAAUAGCAUAUCGAAACCAUAAUAUCCUGCAGAUUGAUGGGUUUGGAAAUUUGAACAAUGCUGCUUGACCAAUAGUGGCCAUGUUAAGUUAUUCCUGUUCCUUUACUCAAUAAGCAAGGUCACUUUUCCAUAAACCUGCAUUUC
ensembl:lncRNA